GACGUAGGGCGCGAGCGUUGUCCGGAUUUAUUGGGCGUAAAGAGCUCGUAGGCGGCUUGUCGCGUCGUCCGUGAAAACUUGGGGCUCAACCCCAAGCUUGCGGUCGAUACGGGCAGGCUCGAGUUCGGUAGGGGAGACUGGAAUUCCUGGUGUAGCGGUGAAAUGCGCAGAUAUCAGGAGGAACACCGGUGGCGAAGGCGGGACUCUGGGCCGAUACUGACGCUGAGGAGCGAAAGCGUGGGGAGCAAACAGG
rnacentral:rRNA from 1 species